UGGGAUAUAGCUCAAUGGCAUAAGUGCCUGCCUGGCAAGUAUAAAGUCCUGAGUUCGAUUCCCAGUACCCCCC
rnacentral:tRNA from 1 species